UUCGCAAUGCCCGAAAGGGUGACGAAGCGACGCCGCGUGUGGGAUGAAGGCCCUCGGGUUGUAAACCACUGUCGGGAGUUAAGAAUUGUAGGAAUGCUAAUAGUAUUUCUACUUGACUAAGGCUCCGGAGGAAGCCACGGCUAACUCUGUGCCAGCAGCCGCGGUAAUACAGAGGCGGCAAGCGUUGUUCGGAAUUAUUGGGCGUAAAGAGCAUGUAGGCGGCUAUGUAAGUCGGUUGUGAAAGCCUUCCGCUUAACGGAAGAAUGGCGGUCGAAACUGCAUGGCUUGAGUGCGGGAGGGGAGAGUGGAACUUCUGGUGGAGCGGUGAAGUGCGUAGAUAUCAGAAGGAACGUCGGCGGCGAAAGCGACUCUCUAGACCGUAACUGACGCUGAGUGUGCGAAAGCUAGGGGAGCAAACGGGAUUAGAUACCCCGGUAGUCCUAGCCGUAAACGAUGGGCACUAAGUAGAGGGGUUUU
rnacentral:rRNA from 1 species